rnacentral:lncRNA from 1 species
CGGGUUCCGUCCCCUCCUCGCCCCGGCCUGUAACUGCUGCGGGGGCCGCUUUCUGGGCCCGCCCCUCCAGGCCAGGAGCCUUUUUCAAAAUGUGGCGGUGGCAGGGAAGGUUGUCUGCUCCAGAGGCUUCCCUAGAGUGAAGAGCUCUACUAUGUAUGCUUUAUGCGGCAGAAGGAGUGCUUUGGAGGAGUUUUUAAAUUUGUUUUUUUUUUAAAUCUUAUCGGUUUUAAUUGUAGCAAUGAUUCAAGAAACGUUAGUAGGUGCCCAUAACUUCGGUGGUGGAGAUCCAAAAGUGAACAAGACAGUGUUCUGGCUGCUAAAUUCUUCUUAACUGGUUAUGCCUGGAGACCUUCACUUGGUUCUGUGCCAGCACUGCCCAUGAACUUCAUAGACUGUGAUCUUUGCUAAGGCCUAAAUGAAUGAAGUGCAGGUGCAGGACCGGAAGCAGAAGACAGAAAGUGGAGACCAGAUGUUUGAAGCUGGGUAAAGGCAGGGAUGGAGCAGGAACCGAGGAACAAACCUUGGAACUAGGCUCUGAGAUGUAUAAAGGCACAGUGAAUUCCUGAAUCAUCCUUUGAUCUUCCACAAGACUCAGUAUCACUGAUUAACUACAAUUUGAAUAUAGUUCAUCACUGAAGGAAUGAGUGAGUGAAUGAGAAAGUGAGCAAAUGAGGCCGUGGAGGUCACUUAAACCAGGGAUCAGGUUCAUAGAGGUCACCCAACACAAGAUGGAAUAGUCAAGUAAACCAAGUUUACGGAGUUAGACAAAACUCCAUAAGGCAAGGUCAACAAAGGCAGCUCUGACGGACUGUUCAAUCCUGACUUUAGGCUGAUGCUGGUCUCUACUCUGUCUUCCUCCUGAGAGUAGGGGGCCUGGGGGCCCUUAAAUAAUUGCUGGUGUUAAAAGGGAGUUCAAUAUUUUCAAGCAUACCUAGCUUCUGUUUGAAGAGAGACAGGGUAGAAGAAUUACCUGGAAGGGAUAGGGUACACACUGCCACCUCCAUUGCUAUAACGUUUUACUCUUGUCAACAGACUUUCACAUAUAUGCUCUUGAGUCAAGCACAGGAAGAAAUAAAUUUUGCUGCUGAAUUUGAAGCAAUUGGCCAUGGAAGCCAGUCUUCAGGGGCAUUAAAACAAAUGCCUAACAAAAGUUUAUUAUAAGGCACUUGCUCCACCUGAACUCAUUUCAUCGUUAGAAAAAAAUCUAAGAAGUAAAAAUUAAUAUCCUUCCCUUUUCACAAGAUGAUGGAAUCAAGAGCCUUAACAAGUUUUAAUGGCCUGCCAAGGGUCAUUUGUCAACUUCUGAGUCUAAUGUCUAUGUUCUACUCAUGACAUGGCAGUUGUGGUAUAGAGGGAUCUGAUACAUCAUGAAAAUAUAAACCCACAGAUUUUGAUUCUAAGAAAGUGACCCAAGUUGUGCUCAUUAUGGUUUUGCUUAAAAUUAAAGUUUAGAUUGAAAUGAUACCAGUUACGUGUUCUUAAAAACCUGCCAUGAUUUACUUUAGAUGAUGAUUGAGGACCUACUGUGUGCAAGCCACUGGGAUGAACAUCUUAUAUAUAGUUUUUUAUUUCAUCCCCAUAGUUAUCCUAGAGACAGGCAUGAUUCCCUUCUUCUUACAAGUGAAGAAACUAAGGCUCAGAAGCAUUGAGUGACUUGCUCCAAAUCAUAAAAUUAGUGGUGGAGAGAAAAUUUAAAGACAGGUUAUCUGGUUCUGGAAUCUACACUUUUACUAACUGCUCUCAAUGGCCUCUCCUUAGUAUUUGUGCCUUCAUUAAACAAAAUGUUUUGAAAACUUCCAGUGUGCCAAGUACUCUUUUGGGUGCUGAGGAUAUAACUAUACAAAUGUGAGUCAUCUUUUGAAUAUGCUAUUCUUCAACAUUUUUGGACUUAGCUAUUUUAAUAAGUUCUAUACUUGUAGGAAGUUUA